rnacentral:rRNA from 1 species
AUUGAACGCUGGCGGCAGGCCUAACACAUGCAAGUCGAACGAGUGGCGGACGGGUGAGUAAUGUCUGGGAAACUGCCUGAUGGAGGGGGAUAACUACUGGAAACGGUAGCUAAUACUGCAUACCGUCAGAUGUGGCCAGGUGGGAUUAGCUUGUUGGUGGGGUAUCGGCUCACCAAGGCGACGAUCCCUAGCUGGUCUGAGAGGAUGACCAGCCACACUGGAACUGAGACACGGUCCAGACUCCUACGGGAGGCAGCAGUGGGGAAUAUUGCACAAUGGGCGCAAGCCUGAUGCAGCCAUGCCGCGUGUAUGAAGAAGGCCUUCGGGUUGUAAAGUACUGUCAUCAGAGAGGCGGUACCCACAGAAGAAGCACCGGCUAACUCCGUGCCAGCAGCCGCGGUAAUAC